GGGUUGUGAGGUUAAGCGACUAAGCGUACACGGUGGAUGCCCUGGCAGUCAGAGGCGAUGAAGGACGUGCUAAUCUGCGAUAAGCGUCGGUAAGGUGAUAUGAACCGUUAUAACCGGCGAUUUCCGAAUGGGGAAACCCAGUGUGAUUCGUCACACUAUCAUUAACUGAAUCCAUAGGUUAAUGAGGCGAACCGGGGGAACUGAAACAUCUAAGUACCCCGAGGAAAAGAAAUCAACCGAGAUUCCCCCAGUAGCGGCGAGCGAACGGGGAGCAGCCCAGAGCCUGAAUCAGUGUGUGUGUUAGUGGAAGCGUCUGGAAAGGCGCGCGAUACAGGGUGACAGCCCCGUACACAAAAAUGCACAUGCUGUGAGCUCGAUGAGUAGGGCGGGACACGUGGUAUCCUGUCUGAAUAUGGGGGGACCAUCCUCCAAGGCUAAAUACUCCUGACUGACCGAUAGUGAAUCAGUACCGUGAGGGAAAGGCGAAAAGAACCCCGGCGAGGGGAGUGAAAAAGAACCUGAAACCGUGUACGUACAAGCAGUGGGAGCACGCUUAGGCGUGUGACUGCGUACCUUUUGUAUAAUGGGUCAGCGACUUAUAUUCUGUAGCAAGGUUAACCGAAUAGGGGAGCCGAAGGGAAACCGAGUCUUAACUGGGCGUUAAGUUGCAGGGUAUAGACCCGAAACCCGGUGAUCUAGCCAUGGGCAGGUUGAAGGUUGGGUAACACUAACUGGAGGACCGAACCGACUAAUGUUGAAAAAUUAGCGGAUGACUUGUGGCUGGGGGUGAAAGGCCAAUCAAACCGGGAGAUAGCUGGUUCUCCCCGAAAGCUAUUUAGGUAGCGCCUCGUGAAUUCAUCUCCGGGGGUAGAGCACUGUUUCGGCAAGGGGGUCAUCCCGACUUACCAACCCGAUGCAAACUGCGAAUACCGGAGAAUGUUAUCACGGGAGACACACGGCGGGUGCUAACGUCCGUCGUGAAGAGGGAAACAACCCAGACCGCCAGCUAAGGUCCCAAAGUCAUGGUUAAGUGGGAAACGAUGUGGGAAGGCCCAGACAGCCAGGAUGUUGGCUUAGAAGCAGCCAUCAUUUAAAGAAAGCGUAAUAGCUCACUGGUCGAGUCGGCCUGCGCGGAAGAUGUAACGGGGCUAAACCAUGCACCGAAGCUGCGGCAGCGACACUAUGUGUUGUUGGGUAGGGGAGCGUUCUGUAAGCCUGUGAAGGUGUACUGUGAGGUAUGCUGGAGGUAUCAGAAGUGCGAAUGCUGACAUAAGUAACGAUAAAGCGGGUGAAAAGCCCGCUCGCCGGAAGACCAAGGGUUCCUGUCCAACGUUAAUCGGGGCAGGGUGAGUCGACCCCUAAGGCGAGGCCGAAAGGCGUAGUCGAUGGGAAACAGGUUAAUAUUCCUGUACUUGGUGUUACUGCGAAGGGGGGACGGAGAAGGCUAUGUUGGCCGGGCGACGGUUGUCCCGGUUUAAGCGUGUAGGCUGGUUUUCCAGGCAAAUCCGGAAAAUCAAGGCUGAGGCGUGAUGACGAGGCACUACGGUGCUGAAGCAACAAAUGCCCUGCUUCCAGGAAAAGCCUCUAAGCAUCAGGUAACAUCAAAUCGUACCCCAAACCGACACAGGUGGUCAGGUAGAGAAUACCAAGGCGCUUGAGAGAACUCGGGUGAAGGAACUAGGCAAAAUGGUGCCGUAACUUCGGGAGAAGGCACGCUGAUAUGUAGGUGAAGUCCCUCGCGGAUGGAGCUGAAAUCAGUCGAAGAUACCAGCUGGCUGCAACUGUUUAUUAAAAACACAGCACUGUGCAAACACGAAAGUGGACGUAUACGGUGUGACGCCUGCCCGGUGCCGGAAGGUUAAUUGAUGGGGUUAGCGCAAGCGAAGCUCUUGAUCGAAGCCCCGGUAAACGGCGGCCGUAACUAUAACGGUCCUAAGGUAGCGAAAUUCCUUGUCGGGUAAGUUCCGACCUGCACGAAUGGCGUAAUGAUGGCCAGGCUGUCUCCACCCGAGACUCAGUGAAAUUGAACUCGCUGUGAAGAUGCAGUGUACCCGCGGCAAGACGGAAAGACCCCGUGAACCUUUACUAUAGCUUGACACUGAACAUUGAGCCUUGAUGUGUAGGAUAGGUGGGAGGCUUUGAAGUGUGGACGCCAGUCUGCAUGGAGCCGGCCUUGAAAUACCACCCUUUAAUGUUUGAUGUUCUAACGUUGACCCGUGAUCCGGGUUGCGGACAGUGUCUGGUGGGUAGUUUGACUGGGGCGGUCUCCUCCUAAAGAGUAACGGAGGAGCACGAAGGUUGGCUAAUCCUGGUCGGACAUCAGGAGGUUAGUGCAAUGGCAUAAGCCAGCUUGACUGCGAGCGUGACGGCGCGAGCAGGUGCGAAAGCAGGUCAUAGUGAUCCGGUGGUUCUGAAUGGAAGGGCCAUCGCUCAACGGAUAAAAGGUACUCCGGGGAUAACAGGCUGAUACCGCCCAAGAGUUCAUAUCGACGGCGGUGUUUGGCACCUCGAUGUCGGCUCAUCACAUCCUGGGGCUGAAGUAGGUCCCAAGGGUAUGGCUGUUCGCCAUUUAAAGUGGUACGCGAGCUGGGUUUAGAACGUCGUGAGACAGUUCGGUCCCUAUCUGCCGUGGGCGCUGGAGAACUGAGGGGGGCUGCUCCUAGUACGAGAGGACCGGAGUGGACGCAUCACUGGUGUUCGGGUUGUCAUGCCAAUGGCACUGCCCGGUAGCUAAAUGCGGAAGAGAUAAGUGCUGAAAGCAUCUAAGCACGAAACUUGCCCCGAGAUGAGUUCUCCCUGACUCCUUGAGAGUCCUGAAGGAACGUUGAAGACGACGACGUUGAUAGGCCGGGUGUGUAAGCGCAGCGAUGCGUUGAGCUAACCGGUACUAAUGAACCGUGAGGCUUAACCUUACAACGCCGAAGCUGUU
rnacentral:rRNA from 1 species